rnacentral:rRNA from 1 species
UCAAGCGACUAAGUGUAUGUGGUGGAUGCCUUGGCGAUCACAGGCGAUGAAGGACGUGACAGCCUGCGAAAAGCUGUGGGGAGCUGGCAAAUAAGCUUUGAUCCACAGAUGUCCGAAUGAGGGAACUCACCUGCUUUGCAGGUAUCCCAUCCUGAAUAUAUAGGGAUGGGAGGCGAACGAAGCGAACUGAAACAUCUAAGUAGCUUCAGGAAAAGAAAUCAACCGAGAUUCCGAAAGUAGCGGCGAGCGAAAUCGGAUCAGCCCAGCACUCGAUAGCAGCCAACUUACGGGAACGGUCUGGAAAGUCCGGCCAUAGAGGGUGAUAGCCCCUUACUGGAAAAGGCAGCUGCGGUACUAAGUGUGCGAUAAGUAGAGCGGGACACGUGACAUCCUGCUCGAAGAUGGGGGGACCAUCCUCCAAGGCUAAAUACUCGUGAUCGACCGAUAGCGUACCAGUACUGUGAAGGAAAGGUUAAAAGAACCCCGGGAGGGGAGUGAAAUAGAUCCUGAAACCGCAUACAUACAAACAGUAGGAGCCUCGUUAAGGGGUGACUGCGUACCUUUUGCAUAAUGGGUCAGCGACUUACGUUUAAUGGCGAGCUUAACCGUAUAGGGGAGGCGCAGCGAAAGCGAGUUCGAACAGAGCGUUCAGUCGUUAGGCGUAGACCCGAAACCAGAUGAUCUAUCCAUGGCCAGGUUGAAGGUGUGGUAACACACACUGGAGGACCGAACCGACUAGUGUUGCAAAAUUAGCGGAUGAGCUGUGGAUAGGGGUGAAAGGCUAAACAAAUCUGGAGAUAGCUGGUUCUCCCCGAAAACUAUUGAGGUAGUGCCUCGUGUAUGACUCCAGGGGGUAGAGCACUGUUAUGGCUAGGGGGACAUGGCGUCUUACCAAACCAUGGCAAACUCCGAAUACUUGGAAGUUUGAGCACGGGAGACAGAGCACCGGGUGCUAACGUCCGGACUCAAGAGGGAAACAACCCAGACCGCCGGCUAAGGUCCCUAAUAUUGACUAAGUGGAAAACGAAGUGGAAAGGCUAAGACAGUCAGGAAGUUGGCUUAGAAGCAGCCAUCCUUCAAAGAAAGCGUAAUAGCUCACUGAUCGAGUCUUUCUGCGCGGAAGAUGUAACGGGGCUAAGUCAAUAACCGAAGCCGCGGAUUCACACUUGUGUGUGAGUGGUAGGGGAGCGUUCUGUAAGCCUGCGAAGGUGACUCGUAAGGGUUGCUGGAGGUAUCAGAAGUGCGAAUGCUGACAUGAGUAACGUUAAAGCGGGUGAAAAGCCCGCUCGCCGUAAGCCCAAGGUUUCCUGCUCUACGUUCAUCGGAGCAGGGUGAGUCGGCCCCUAAGGUGAGGCUGAGAAGCGUAACUGAUGGGAACAAGGUUAAUAUUCCUUGACCACCGCUGAAUGCGAAGGGGGGACGGAGUAUUGAAGAUCAUCCGGGUGUUGGAUAUCCCGGUUUGCGAGCGUAGGAGGCUGACAGGCAAAUCCGUCAGCGAAUCUCCGAGGCAAAGCAUCGAGCUCUCUUUUGAGCGAAGUGAUUGGAUGUGCUUCCAGGAAAAGCCUCUAAGCUCCAGUUCAGCGGGACCGUACCGCAAACCGACACUGGUGGGCGAGCUGAAUAUGCUCAGGCGCUUGAGAGAACUCAGGAGAAGGAACUCGGCAAAUUGACACCGUAACUUCGGGAUAAGGUGUGCCUUUGUAGCGUGGAGGGAGAAACACCCCGAGCGCGAAGAGGUCUCAGAUAAUCGGUGGCUGCGACUGUUUAUUAAAAACACAGCACUCUGCAAAGACGAAAGUCGACGUAUAGGGUGUGAUGCCUGCCCGGUGCUGGAAGAUUAAUUGAUGGGGUGCAAGCUCCUGAUCGAAGUCCCAGUAAACGGCGGCCGUAACUAUAACGGUCCUAAGGUAGCGAAAUUCCUUGUCGGGUAAGUUCCGACCUGCACGAAUGGCAUAACGAUGGCCACACUGUCUCCUCCUGAGACUCAGUGAAGUUGAAGUGUUUGUGAUGAUGCAAUCUCCCCGCGGCUAGACGGAAAGACCCCAUGAACCUUUACUGUAGCUUUGCAUUGGACUUUGAACCGAUCUGUGUAGGAUAGGCGGGAGCCUGUGAAACCACAACGCCAGUUGUGGCGGAGGCGUCCUUGAAAUACCGCCCUGAUUUGUUUGAGGUUCUAACCUGGGACAGUCAUCCUGUCCGGGGACCGUGCAUGGUAGGCAGUUUGACUGGGGCGGUCGCCUCCUAAAGGGUAACGGAGGCGCGCGAAGGUCCGCUCGGGACGGUCGGCAACCGUCCUUUUGAAUGCAAGAGUACAAGCGGGCUUGACUGCGAGGCCCACAAGCCGAGCAGGUGCGAAAGCAGGCUCUAGUGAUCCGGCGGCCCCGAGUGGGUGGGCCGUCGCUCAACGGAUAAAAGGUACUCCGGGGAUAACAGGCUGAUCUUGCCCAAGAGUCCACAUCGACGGCAAGGUUUGGCACCUCGAUGUCGGCUCAUCGCAUCCUGGGGCUGGAGCAGGUCCCAAGGGUACGGCUGUUCGCCGUUUAAAGCGGUACGCGAGCUGGGUUCAGAACGUCGUGAGACAGUUCGGUCCCUAUCCUCCGUGGGCGCAGGAGAAUCGAUGGAGGCUGCCCCCAGUACGAGAGGACCGGGGUGGACGCACCUCCGGUGAACCGGUUGUCGACCAACGGCACGGCCGGGUAGCCGCGUGCGGCGCGGAUAACCGCUGAAGGCAUCUAAGCGGGAAGCCGUUCCAGGGAUUAGUUCUCCUUCCGGUAAGGGCCCAGGUAGACUACCUGGUCGAUAGACGGCAGGUGCAAGGCUGGCGACAGCCUCAGCCGAGCCGCACUAAUCGCCCGAGCUCUUCCGGA